GAUGAAGAACGUAGCGAAAUGCGAUACGUAAUGUGAAUUGCAGAUCUCUCAGUGAACCAUCGAAUUUUUGAACGCACAUUGCGCCCCCUGGCAUUCCGGGGGGCAUGCCUGUUCGAGCGUCUCUUGGACUAACCCUCGCGCGGGUGAACGCGCGGUCUUGGCGGCGGUGGCGUGCCCAGGUCGGUUGCCACCGCGCUGGAAUCCAUGGGCGGACUCCUGCCGCGUCGCCGAGCGUGAUAGGACGCAUUGGCGCUCGUGCGCGGCGAGGAUGACAGCCCAGGCCCGUCCGUCGGGCGGGGAAUAGCGAAAAUUGGGAACUCCUCGAAUCAGGUAGGGAUACCCGCUGAACUUAAGCAUAUCAAUAAGCGGAGGA
rnacentral:misc_RNA from 1 species